AUUGAACGCUGGCGGCAUGCUUUACACAUGCAAGUCGGACGGCAGCACAGAGAAGCUUGCUUCUUGGGUGGCGAGUGGCGAACGGGUGAGUAAUAUAUCGGAACGUACCGAGUAAUGGGGGAUAACUAAUCGAAAGAUUAGCUAAUACCGCAUAUUCUCUGAGGAGGAAAGCAGGGGACCUUCGGGCCUUGCGUUAUUCGAGCGGCCGAUAUCUGAUUAGCUAGUUGGUGGGGUAAAGGCCUACCAAGGCGACGAUCAGUAGCGGGUCUGAGAGGAUGAUCCGCCACACUGGGACUGAGACACGGCCCAGACUCCUACGGGAGGCAGCAGUGGGGAAUUUUGGACAAUGGGCGCAAGCCUGAUCCAGCCAUGCCGCGUGUCUGAAGAAGGCCUUCGGGUUGUAAAGGACUUUUGUCAGGGAAGAAAAGGCUGUUGCUAAUAUCGACAGCUGAUGACGGUACCUGAAGAAUAAGCACCGGCUAACUACGUGCCAGCAGCCGCGGUAAUACGUAGGGUGCGAGCGUUAAUCGGAAUUACUGGGCGUAAAGCGAGCGCAGGCGGUUUGAUAAGUCUGAAGUUAAAGGCUGUGGCUCAACCAUAGUUCGCUUUGGAAACUGUCAAACUUGAGUGCAGAAGGGGAGAGUGGAAUUCCAUGUGUAGCGGUGAAAUGCGUAGAUAUAUGGAGGAACACCGGUGGCGAAAGCGGCUCUCUGGUCUGUAACUGACGCUGAGGCUCGAAAGCGUGGGGAGCGAACAGG
rnacentral:rRNA from 1 species